GAUGAAGAACGUAGCGAAAUGCGAUAAGUAAUGUGAAUUGCAGAAUUCAGUGAAUCAUCGAAUCUUUGAACGCAUCUUGCGCUCCUUGGUAUUCUGAGGAGCAUGCCUGUUUGAGUGUCAUUAAAUUCUCAACUACACUGACUUUGAAUUGGUGUGGCUUGGAUUUGGGGGGAAAAUUGUUGUGGGCUUUUUGUAUAGUCUGCUCCCCUGAAAUUGAUUAGCGGUACCUUUGUGGAACUGUCUACAGGUGUGAUAAUUAUCUACAUCUUAGACAUCUGCUGGAAUGCUGCUUUCUAAACCUUACUUGUAUUGACAAUCUUGACCUCAAAUCAGGUAGGACUACCCGCUGAACUUAAGCAUAUCAAUAAGCGGAG
rnacentral:misc_RNA from 1 species